rnacentral:sRNA from 1 species
CUCAAAGGCCAAAGCAUUCCUUCCAAAACUGAGAUCUGGCCAUGUCAUGCCCCUGCCUAAAAUCCCUCUGUGGUUCCCCUAAGGACCUUCCCAGCCUGCCUUUGUGAGCCUCCCCGGAGGCUCCUGGACUCCAGCUAUGCUGAGGGCCUUGCAGGUCUCUGAUUCACCCUGCUGGCUCUUGCUUCCUGGCCCUGCACAUGUGUGCCUUUGCCCAAGUGCUCUUCCUCCCCUUCUUCACCUGGAGAACCCUGGUGAUUGUCCUCAGACUCAGAUUAGGUCACCUCUUCUGCUGGCCUCCAUCACUGCCCCCUCAGCCCUGAGCCCGUGCUACUGUGCUCCCUGCUUCCCACUCCCGGGGCACUUCCUUCUAGUGUCUUUUUUCCUUGCCUGCCUUACCCUACACUGGGCACUUCUGGAGGGCAGGAGCUGGGGGUCUCCUGGCACCAAGAAUCUGUAAAUGUAUGUUGAAUAAAUAACAAGUUGUUCGAAGUGGGGCUUGGGGAGUCUGAACCCGGACCCACCUCUGUGCCUAUCCCCAGGCUCCUGGCUGGUGCCCCCCGGGAGCUCACUGUGCCCGAUGGCUACACCAACCGGACUGGUGCUGUGUACCUGUGCCCACUCACUGCCCACAAGGAUGACUGUGAGCGGAUGAACAUCACAGUGAAAAGUGAGGGGAAGGGGCUGGGGAGGGGUGCUGGGUCAGAGGUCUGGCAGGGGGGUACCGCAGAGAGAAUGGCCUGGAGGAGAUAGAAGGCUUGUUCACACGGCUUCUAGUCGCUUCUUGUCCAGCUGGGAAGAGGGUGCCCUAGAGGAGAGUGGGGCUGGAUGGGAUUGGUAGAGCUCAGAAUAAUGACGAGCUGGAGAAGGGGAGUUGGGAGGGCUGCCCUGUGGGUGGAGGGCCCAAGCGGGACCCACUCCUGCCCUCUGGAGGCUUUGGGCACUGAAGUAUGGGUGAGGUGCUCUGAUUCAUGAUCCUUCCGGUGCCCACAGGUGACCCUGGCCAUCACAUUAUUGAGGACAUGUGGCUUGGAGUGACUGUGGCCAGCCAGGGCCCUGCAGGCAGAGUUCUGGUAAGUGGGUGCUCAGUGUUAGCUCCUCCACCUCUACCCGGCUCUCCCCUCAUCUCCAGAGCUGGGAGGAAAGAAGAGGGCAGCAGGGGGGUCCACAGCGCGUGUGUGCUGGGGCCUGCACACAUGUCCCUUCCUGUGGCUGUGUGUCCCUCGCUCUCUGCACUCCUGGGGAGGGGGUGAGUAUCCUGUGCUCUCCCAAACCCCCGCACGGCCUGAGUUCUCUGACUCAUCCACUUCCUCCCCAUGCCUACACUGGGUGCUCAGCCUUCGUGGGAACAAGCCGAGGGAGCCGAGGGAACUGCAAGGAGGAGAAAGGGCAGAGAGGGCCCCAGGCAGCUCAGCGCUGGCUGGCACUCCUUCCUGGGAGGCUGACUGCCGGAAGAGGCCCAGCCCUGCUGACCCCGGCUCACCCAGCUCUGGUCUGGGGGCUAAUCAAAUGUGUCACCUCCUGCCCACAUUCUAUAGUGGCAGCCCCUGAGUUCUCCAUUUCUGGGUCCCAGAUAGACAUUUCCCCCCACAUUUUUUUCUCUCUCUGUCUCUUUUUGUUGUUGUUGUUAUAUUCCAAAAAGGAUUUUGAUUUUAUUGCUUCACACACAGAAGAGUUCUGGUUAAGGCUUGCCUUGCUCCUGGUGCUCAUAUGAUGCCACCAGGAUGUGAUUUAUCUCAAGCACUUAACUCUGUGUUCUUCGUGUUGCCUCCAUUCUUUGAUAGGCAUUCUUUUCGUGGUGCCAAGAUGAAUGCAACAGCUUCAGCUUUAUCUUCUUUGACCUUCAAGUUCUAUAGUCCCAGUAGAUAUCUGACUACAACUCAUUAGCUCUGACUAUUUCAGGUACUCCUCUCUGAAACAAUUACUGUGACCAAGAGAAUGCAAUACUUACACUUUCUUCGGACAUGAAUUAUCAGUAUCCAGAUAGGCACAUAAACUCAGUCUUAGAAUGUGUUGCUUUGAUGUCAGGUUUUUCUCUUGCCUUGAUAGUUCCACAUGGCUGGGGAAGCCUCACAAUCAUGGUGGAAGGCAAGGAGGAGCAAGUCCCAUCUUACGCUGAUGGCAGCAGGCAAAGAGAGAAUGAGGCUGUCUCUCUCUCUCUCUCUCUUUUCUUUUCUUUCUCUUCUUUCUUCUUUCUUUCAAGAUAGAAGACUCCCAGCUGGGUGUGGUGGUUCACGCCUGUAAUCCCAGCACUUUGGGAGUCCGAGGCCGGUGGAUCAUGAGGUCAGGAGUUCGAGACCAGCCUGGCCAAUAUGGUGAAACCCUGUCUCUACUAAAAAUAUAAAAAAUAAGCCGGGUGCAGUGGUGCCCGUCUGUUGUCCCAGUUACUUGGGAGGCUGAGGCAGGAGAAUCGCUUGAACCUGGGAGGUGGAGGUUGCAGUGAGCCAAGAUCACACCACUGCAUUCCAGCCUGGGUGACAGAGCGAGACUCCAUCUC